rnacentral:rRNA from 1 species
UACGGAGGGAGCUAGCGUUGUUCGGAAUCACUGGGCGUAAAGCGCACGUAGGCGGAUUUGCCAGUCAGGGGUGAAAUCCCGGGGCUCAACCUCGGAACUGCCUUUGAUACAGCAAGUCUUGAGUUCGAGAGAGGUGGGUGGAAUUCCUAGUGUAGAGGUGAAAUUCGUAGAUAUUCGGAAGAACACCAGUGGCGAAGGCGACUCGCUGGACAGACAUUGACGCUGAGGUGCGAAAGCGUGGGGAGCAAACAGG